CACCUUCCAUCCUUGCAGAAAACACGCAUUACAUUAUUAAUAUUGAGAUACAAUUUGGAAAAUACAUAUUUUGUCAGAUGGAAACUUACUACGGGGACUGCAGGAUAUAGCCUCAAGGUCUCAGACAACGCGGCAUGGAGCUUCAAAGCCAAUGUUAAGAAGUCGCUGUACCUUCCAAGUUGGAUCUAUAUAGCGCCAAUGUAUCAGGGAAGUUGCAUCAUCAAACGCCUUAAUAAAUGAGGAUCCAGCAGCAUCGGAUUCCAUGGUGUUAAGAUCUGUUCCAAACCCAACUUCAAAGAUUGAAUCUAAAGAGUAUCGCAUUAGCAACUCCUGCAAUAUAUAAAUUAAAGCUAAAGUCUCUCAACAUCCGCGUGGAGAACUCAACACUAGCAAGCUUCCUCUGUUGCCUCCAGUUAGCACCAUUAACAACAAAUAUGCCUUGUCCAAGCAAAUCAUUUGUUAUUCCUUCAAGCAGCCGGAAGGUUUGGUGCUUUCCAGCAACUUCUGUCAAGUAGUCGUAGAUUCUGUUGAAAUUGAUCAGUAGGCUUAGCACAGUGCCAGCCACUGGAGGGUAAUUUGAAUUUCUUAUUGAUUUUGCAGUGAAGAUCUUCACUAGUAAAGCAAAGAAGCAUAUGAGAAGCAGUAGUGGUACAGUUGCAAUAACUGUGAAGAUUGCAUAGAGAAAGUCCAUUCCUUUGGAAGUUAAGAAAUGAGAGUAUUAUUCGAGUAAAAAUUUUCACUAGCCAUAAAUAUAGAAGUUGAAGUUUCAAGGUCUUUAAGAUAUUUUUAAAAUAUUAAAAAAAUACUUCACACACUACGAUCUUCUCGUCUGUCCGUUAUCUCACAUGUUCCAAAUAUAUGAUACUUAAUAAUUUUUAAAGAGAAGUAAGAGCCACCACAUAAACUAUGAUUUCUUGUCAAUCGGCCUUAUCAAAUGAUCGAUACGUAAUAUAAGUUGUAUUGAAAGGGUAAUUAUCUACUUGUCUAGCCGUUAAUAUAUCUUCACGUAUCUUCAUAUUUUGGUAUUUAACACUUUUGUUGUAUUUGGUUCGGGUGAAUGGAAUGAAGUGAGUAAAAUUAAAAAAAAAUAAUAGAGUGUAGAAGAAAGGACUUUGUAAAAAAAUCAGUGGGUGUAAAUUUUGUAUGAUAAGAUUUGGGUAGAAAAAAAUAUGAUAAGGAAUGGAGCAUUCUUUCACAAAAUGAAGGAUUUGAGCUGUAGUUAAGAGUGAUAGGAAUGAGGAAAAAAAUGAAAUUAUUAUACAUUCAAUUAAAAUAUAUUGUAGUUCAAAUCUCAUUCACCCCAACCAAAUAUGACAUUUGUGUAUGAUACGGUUGGUCUUUAGUGAUCUGUGCUAUACGGCCACACAGUGAAUUUGAUAAUUUUAAGAUCGUACGCGAUUAUGACUCGAUAGUUACACCAAAGAUUCCAUAUUAUUUUGUAGACAUUAUUGCUAUCGUUCACUACUUUGCUCCUUUCGCAUUGGAAACUUUAGCUAUACUUUAUUUCUUCCGAAAAUUACCAGUUACAUUCUUUAUACAUGAGCUUUCAGACUGAUUAACACAUUAAACUUAGGUAUGAACAUCAACGUUCAUUUCAGGUGUCUUGAUCAACUUAAUCGAUAAGUAAUGUCAUAAGGGAUGGUGACUGGCGCGGAAAAGAUGAUACGACAACCUUUCCUCUGGCUCUUCCGGUUUCUAGAUAUCCGAAAGCUUGUGGUACGUCGGAGAAAUGAAAAGGUCCUGCAGGAUCAAUCACGGCCUUGAGGACUCCACUUUCUAAAUAUGGUCGAAGCUUUUCCAAAAUUUCUCCAGAGACUGUCAGACCAGAAUGAAUUGCUCUUGGAUUCGAAGGAGGCCAUGUUAUGUCAAUUAUUGGUGCGUGAUCCUCAGCUACAAUACUUGAAUUCUUCGAGUCACCUGAAAUACAGAAAUUUAAUUCAAAGUACCUUGAAGGUGUUGGAGAUGAAAAAGACUAAGUUCAGAAAAUUUACCAACGGUAUCAUAUACUAAAUCAUACUUCUCCUUGAUGUCCUCGUAUCGAGUCUUGGUGUAGUCUACAACCGUAUCAGCACCUAAGCUCUUUACAAACUUGAGUUUUGCAGUACUAGUUGUUGCCACAACCUUAGAAGCUCCAAACAAGUACUUGGCCAAUUGAACAACCAAUGUUCCGACUCCACCAGCUCCCCCAACUACAAAAACUGACUGUCCCUCCUUAAAACCCGCGGUUCUGAACCCCUGAAUUGCUGUUUGAACUGCCACUGGUAAACUGGCCGCCUCCUCAAAUGAGAGGUUUUUCGGCUUCAAAGCCACCAGAUGCUCCUCCACGACGAUGAAUUCAGCUAAAGUCCCAAGCUGUUUAACUUCAUCUGCACAGAAGUCCUGAAUGUUACCAUAUACCUCAUCACCUAUUUUGAACUCCAAAACGCUGUCGCCUUUUUUUGUCACAACACCAGCCAUGUCACAGCCCGGGAUCAUCUGCAUCAACUUAAUUAGUACGCAUAAUGAAACUGUAUUACUAUCUACAAUAACAGGCAUUAUCAUGGUGUUUUCUAUCUUUUAAUCUGAAUUCAUAAAAUAAAAUGUUUACAAAUGGUUUGGUAUUAAUUAGCGCUAAUACUGAUUUUUACUAACAGGAAAACAUGCAGGAACAAUGGGUCGUUGGCGCAUCUUAGAGUCAAUAGGAUUUAAAGCUGCAGCGCGAACUUGAACAAGUAACUGAUUGUGCUUGAGACGAGGAACUGCAAUCUCUCUUAGCUCAAGUACUUCCUUUGGGCCAUGUUCUUCAUAAAUCCAAGCUUUCUGCAUUUUUGUUUAAAUUGAAAUUUCCAAAUUCCUACACAAAGAGGUAGCUUGCUAUGGAGUUUAUCAAAUGUAACAAGGAAGAAACUUAUAUAGCAGGCAACUUAGUGUUUUGAGUGAGUUCAUCAACAAGAUUACAAAUGGUUUUCAAUAAUGCAUGCAUUAUUUAGAGAAUGUGAAUUCUUUUAAGAGUUUUUUUAAAGUAUCCUACCUUAUGUUAAUGUUAAUUGUAUGGUGAUGUUAUUGAUCUAUUGGAAGUUUGGAACUAGUCCA